UUCGUUACGGAUAAACAUGGAACUCGAGUGACGCAGAUAUAUUCCUUGUUUAAAUUUGACUGAACAUUUGAUCGCAGUUACAGCUGGUGGUAAAGAACUAACAGUAGAAUUGCAGCAGGUGUUCAAAUACUUAUAGACGCUAGUGUAUACAUGUACUAUGAUUACGUAGAAUCGAAUCUAUAGUCUGUGCUACGUAUUUGACGAAAUCGCUUUAAAACGGUAGUCGAUUUGAACGCGUACGACUUUCACCGAACAUUAAAUCAUAUCGGUCAUUAUAAAUAAUAGCAAAUAGCAAUACAGUGUCGUGAUUGUUCAUAUCGAUGGCUUCGUAAGAUUGCCUAAGGGAACGAGUACGGAGAAGAAGCAGGAAUCGCGUAGAAUGGAAUGCGGCAGUUUCUACUCGAAAAAUCCGAGAGAAGGAAAAACUAAAAGCGUACAAGUGCAACGAACUGCGACGAGGACGAUUACGGAAUAUCGCGAGAGCCGACGGCGGCAGGAGGAAAACGUUGCGUCAAUUUGGCGGAGAUCCGACGUGCCAGCGGUCGAAAGAAAAACGCAUCCACGAGGCGAGCUUGGAGACAAGCCAACUCGUGUCGUUUCCAUUUACGCGAAACUUUUCAGCCGUGGUUCGCUACUCUCUGUGUCUAGAUGCUAUACGUUGUGUCCGUUGCACCAGGCUCGCGCUUUCUAACGGCGAAUUUACCUCGUUAAAUCGUGAGCAACGUACCGGACUCGAGAAAAACUAGCGUCCCCGUCUGUCCGCGUUGCUCACGAGGGGGAGAGAGGACGCACGCAACAGUUUCAACCCUGUGGAAAAUCGUCGGACAGAGAGCGAAGAGACAAAGGUCCGCGCGAUCCGUUCGACGCAUGGCAGUGGACCGACAUAAUAGUCGUUGUUGCAUUAUACUCCCCGGCUUCCCCUACGUAAUCGCGAUAUCGGUUCAACGGCCAUGCGAAAUUAACUUUCUCCGGCGCGGGUCUGCCAACGAGAAGCCCACUAGAAGCAGCAUGGUUACUACAUAUAUAUUAGAUUGCCAGCGAUGUGCUCGAACCGCUUUCAAACCGAUUCCAUCGCUUUUAAUAUCGAAUAUAAAGUAAAUUCGAUUAACCGGUUUUCUCUUCAGUGGGCUAUUUGAUUAAUAACGCGGUGAAUGGUUAACGUAGACCGGAUACAAUGCCACUUAAUCGGCAUGGCGAAACUGCAUAGAUAUUGAUAUUAUUAACGUACGGUUGAGGAUAACCAAGACUGAUUUUAUGACUUCGGUCCAUGCUGAUAGGAUAUUUACGUUGUGAGGAUCAGUUGUAGAGGACGAGUAGAGGUUGCUCUUCAAGUAUAUUAUUUCUGCAAUACUACGUUGAUUCUAUAAUUGGAUGUUGCUUUGUAAUUAAUUGUUAAAGUGCUAUAUAUUUGUAAUUUUAAGUGUAUCUAAUGUGUUAAUCGAGAAAGUUCAGCUAACGGCUUAUUUAUUUAGAAAUCCCCUAUCUUUUUAUGCCACAAAUACCGUUACAAAUCAAUUACAUUUACAAGGAUUAAAACUGUCCUAACCAAAAUUCAUCCAUCUUCGAUACCAAUCUUUUGUUUCGUAAUUACAGAAGUGGUAGAAUUAAGAAAUAAUUUCUUUAACAAGGAUAAAAUUGAAUAUGAAAGUUACCGUUUAAUUUUAAAGUUUUCAAGACCUCGAGUGUAUCAGUGAAUCGUAAAGCAUUCGAGUGGUUCUAAAAGCGAACGUGGCUCGUAAGAUUUCGAGUUGCCAUUGCUGGCGUUGCGCAGGAAUCGGAACAACAGGUCGAUGCAAUUAGUCACUGGAUACCGUGAUUCCCACACGGUGAUUCCUUUUCGAAUGGGGUUAGGGGACAUAGGUCAGGAACGAUUCAUUUGUCCAAUCGAAGUCUGAAAAUAUUUCAUUAUAUGUUAGAAAAAUUUCAAAAGAUUGUUCACAUCAAAAUCUUGAUAAUACGCAUAACGAAACGGGCAUAAAAAUUGUAAUAUACAAACCGAUUUAAUGAGGUUAUACAAUGCAUCGGGUUGCAUCACAUAAUCGCAAUGUUUGUUAACUGGCCUAACAUCGAAGCACAGUAACAAUGCUAAACGCGAACAUGUUACUUUCUCCUCGACCGAUUAUUUUACAUACGAACUAUUCGCGCUUGUAAAAUUAACCGUAUGAAUCGUAAGAAGCGUCCGUUGAGGAAACCAAUUUAACUAAAAGCUGUUCGAGCAGAGAGAAACGGUAACUUCGUAAUAUUUGAAAUUUUUAUACUGACGCUUUAUGGGUAAUUCGUCCCUCUGGCGGUGAAUAUGAAAACUACGAAUGUAGUGAACGUAAACAUUUGAAAAUUAAAAAAUUCUAAACUAAAACUCUUCGAUUCGAAAAUUUCAGAAGCUCAGAAAUAUCCAAAAUCUGAGAUUCGUAAGAUUUGAAAACUUGAGAAUUACAAAAUUUUUAUGUUCGAAAAUUCUAAAAUUCAUCUAAUAUGUUACAGAUACUAAAAGUAGAUUACAGAGUUAACAGGUUGAAUUUAAGCGAGCACGCAAAUGCCUCUAACAGCUGACGAUUGCUCUCUUUCCGUUCAACGAUAUUAGAGAAAUUCGCACGUUGUCUCCACACGUGGUAACGCACAGCUAAAUAUACGCGACUAAUGACUGUUACGAAAUGUCAAGCAGAAGCUGCCGAGUAGUGGGUCAGUCGUAAAGUCAGAUUCUGUUUCGCGUGUAUUCCCUAACAAGCGAUUAGUUUCGAGGAGAAAGGUGUCGAUUUUCAAUGGGUAUCGAUUUUCAAUGAGUAUCGAUGAUCGAGUCUGUACGCAACAAAAUGGUUGUACUCGCUACAUUUUAACUUUAUUUAAGUAAAUCAUUACGUUACAAAAUAAAUUAGACAUAAAAUAAAUUGCCCGUCAAUAACAAUUCUUUGCAAUGUGAAGACUUAGAAAGUUCUAUCGCGAGAUAUGUGAAGCGGAAAAACUUAGAAUUGACCCUCUCAACUGGAGGCGAGACAAAAACAGCGUACGGAUCUUUAAGAUGAAAUAUACAGUGGUUUAUUUUUAGCCACAUUUUAUGAACAUAUUAUAUUUCAAAUUGUACCGAUAUAAUCAUAUGUUGUUAUAAUACCAAUGGAAUAUCAAAAUGUUUUACGUAACACAUACAAUACGGAUAUAAAAGUUUUCUAUGGGGGUUAUUGAGGAAAUCGAUGAUGGAGAUCUAUUCUUUGCCGGAGGAACAAGCUAGUAGAAGGAAAUAUCGACGAAAGUUCGCUGGCGGCUGGUAUAUACUGCGCAAAUGCUCUCCCGCCUCUCGGAAUAUUACUUGGUUGCCCAAGGUUGCCGUUCGUUCUGCUCACGACUCGAGCAUUAUGCUCGUGUAUAGAUAUAUCAGCUACGCACUUACAGCAAUAUACCUCUACACCAACGUAUUUACGAUACACGCUUAGAAGAUCUAUCUCUUUAUCGCGCACAUACACCAGGAGAGUACAUAUCAGCGUUUCCCAACCAUUAUUCUAUUCCAUUAAAAUGUUUACCUAUCACGUGCAAUACGUGUUUUCUUCAUCGUUAACUAUAGUAUAAUGAGACAUUCGAUGAAGCUGGUGAAUAAUUCAAGAUGACUCUAACAGGUUGAACCGAGACAAAGUCGAGCUGAAAAACGAGAUUGGGAAACUCUGUAAGCGCAAUGCACCUAUUCUUUGUUCAUUUCUCGGCUUUUAAGAGCGUGCCUUGCAUCGGUGCACGGCAAUUAUUGACGUGUGUGUGAAAACCAAGAGAUACAUCAAGCACCGUAUGUUCUAUGUAUGUAUAUACGAGAGUAUAUGCGCGUCUGAUUGGUACCAGGACUACCAGGGCCUCUCCCUUCCGAACAAACGACGAUGGUUCAAGUUGGUCGCUUACACGACACGGAUCAACGAUUUAACGUGAACAGAAAACAGAACAGUCUCUCUCGAUCUCUGCGGUCGGAUCGUUCCAAAUCGAUCGAUCGCUUCCCCGAUACGCGGAAUCUCACUUUCUCUGAAACUCUGUUUUCUUUUCCCUUUGUCUUACUGUUCACUGUAAAACAUGUUUUGAGAAUUAAUCGAGAUAUAAAAACAAUAUCAGGCAAAUCUUAAUUCGAAAAUGGAAGAAUAAUUACUUAUCCACUUGGAGAAAUCAUUUUCCAUGAAGAAAAAUACGGGUAGUUCCUGUUUCUUUUAGAAUGUUCGUCGGUAAGAAACAGUAAUACAAAAAACCAUUCGUAAUUUUUAUGUUAACGAAUGAGUAGAUUAAUUACUUCCCGUUUCAUAGCGUUUUUGAUAUAAAGACAUAUUCUCGUUCGUAUGUGUAUGUAAUAUGUCAUACUGAUAUGACUGAGAUGUCGUUUGAUGAUAUUGAUAUCUUAUAUAUUAUUUUCGUUCAUAUAUAUCUAUAUAUAACAUAUAAAUGUAUAUAUCAUUAUACACAUAUGAACGACACCUUAUACAUAACAAAUCAUUGUCUUUCUAUAGUUGAGAAUCGAUUGAAAGUUUGUCCAUUUAUAAUCUGAUUAAAUAAUGCACGACCGCGCACGUUGCUUUCUAAUCAUUUAUUUACGCGAAUAUUUUCGACGUGGAAACGCAUCUACUAUAAUCGUAAACUCUAUAGAAGCAUUAUUCGUGGAGUUGAAUUGCUUUCGUUUACAUAAUCUACGUCUUCCGUAAGCACAGCGUGUAAACUGACCGAUAGAAUUCCUGUAAAUGGAAAUUUUUAUUGAAUAAUCUCUACGAAGAGAUUGGUUCUUUACAAAGAACACGAUAACAAUGACGUGUUAAAGAUAAUGUUUCAUUUCAUUGAUUGCACAACCCAGAACAAUUACGAAGCAUCGAAGAUUUGUAUUUUGUUAUGAAUGAUCAUGAAAAAUUAAGUAUUAAAAUAUGUUAAUUCAAAUAAAAGAGAUACUCAUUAUCGAAAAUGGAGAGUAUAGCAGUAAAUAAGUUAAUCAAAGAGAAUUAAGAAUCGAGAAAUUAAUGACAUAAAAUCUAUAUUCGAAACGCUGCUGCUUAAUGCUGCAUAAAUUCGCGCUACCUUAUGUCCGAACGUGUUAAAGUACUGUUCCUUUCAAUUGCGUUGGCCUUGAGGUUAGUAGACAAGGAACGACGCAAUUCUCACAAUUAAUGCUUCUUUGUCCGAUCUUCUUUCACGCUCUAUUAUCGUUCGACUUUAUGUUGUAACGUACUCUGAAGGUUAAUAAAAGAAACUUCUAAUUUGUUCUUUUAUUACAAUUUAAUUACUUCCAUCACCUAGACAUAUUGUAUAUACGUUUUUAUUCGUGGAAGACGAAUUUACGGACUAUACCUAACGACACCUAUAAUCUACGACCAAUGAACCGUCGCCUCCACUGUCGAUAAAUCAGAUAAUCUUUCAACGCAUUACAAACCAGCCCUUAAAAAAUGUCAACAUAUAAAAUAUUAUCUUUAAGUUUAAUCUGAUAUAGUUAUGAUUGAAGUAAAAGGCGUAAGUAAAACAGUGGCAUAAAAAUAACAAAACGAUAAUAAAAAUAAUGAAAAUAAUGAAAAUUCGACGAUAACAGCUGUCAAGACACACUGUUUAGAAGCGUAGAUUGCGCGCGUACAGCUGAUAAUGAUUAUAAUCUUGAAAGAAAAGAGAUAACCUUAAAAAAUAACAAUCACUACAUACGUAUUGUGACUAUUAGUAUAUCUGAAUCAUAUCUUUGACAUAUCGUCAUACAUGAGUAUUUCGAUACGCAACACGUUCGAAUCUUGUAACAGGGACUUCAGCUUACAACUUGUUACUAAAACGAAUGAAAUAUUUGUGUCUGUGAUAUAACCAAACAACGUUAUAUUAAACGCACGUUACUUAGGUGGAUCGAUCGAACACGAGUUUGGAAAGAUUGAAUGAGAGCGGAACGAAGACGCAGUACAAGAAUACCAUGAAGGAAUAGGGUCAAGGAUCCCACGACUAAGCUUAUGACAAACAGAUUAUUAUUUUAUAGAAGAAGAUAAACUCACUGUUUCCUCCUCUUACUACGUGCUUUGGCCCUCUGAUAUCGCUCGGGUAUCCGGUGGUUUAGCGAUUGAUGAGGCUCCGAGCAAUAUCCUGGUUAGAUGCACUCGCGAUUUUCGUCUGCGAUCAUGAAGCGAGAUCGGUCUGUUG